CGAACGCUGGCGGCGUGCUUAACACAUGCAAGUCGAACGGAAAGGCUCCUUCGGGGGCGCUCGAGUGGCGAACGGGUGAGUAACACGUGGGUGAUCUGCCCUGCACUUCGGGAUAAGCCUGGGAAACUGGGUCUAAUACCGGAUAGGACCACAUGCUGCAUGGUGUGUGGUGGAAAGUUUUCAAUGGUGUGGGAUGGGCCCGCGGCCUAUCAGCUUGUUGGUGGGGUGAUGGCCUACCAAGGCGACGACGGGUAGCCGGCCUGAGAGGGUGUCCGGCCACACUGGGACUGAGAUACGGCCCAGACUCCUACGGGAGGCAGCAGUGGGGAAUAUUGCACAAUGGGCGCAAGCCUGAUGCAGCGACGCCGCGUGGGGGAUGACGGCCUUCGGGCUGUAAACCUCUUUCACCAUCGACGAAGCUGCCCGAAGGGGUGGUGACGGUAGGUGGAGAAGAAGCACCGGCCAACUACGUGCCAGCAGCCGCGGUAAUACGUAGGGUGCGAGCGUUGUCCGAAAUUACUGGGCGUAAAGAGCUCGUAGGUGGUUUGUCGCGUUGUUCGUGAAAUCUCACGGCUUAACUGUGAGCGUGCGGGCGAUACGGGCAGACUGGAGUACUGCAGGGGAGACUGGAAUUCCUGGUGUAGCGGUGGAAUGCGCAGAUAUCAGGAGGAACACCGGUGGCGAAGGCGGGUCUCUGGGCAGUAACUGACGCUGAGGAGCGAAAGCGUGGGGAGCGAACAGGAUUAGAUACCCUGGUAGUCCACGCCGUAAACGGUGGGUACUAGGUGUGGGUUUCCUUCCUUGGGAUCCGUGCCGUAGCUAACGCAUUAAGUACCCCGCCUGGGGAGUACGGCCGCAAGGCUAAAACUCAAAGGAAUUGACGGGGGCCCGCCCAAGCGGCGGAGCAUGUGGAUUAAUUCGAUGCAACGCGAAGAACCAUACCUGGGUUUGACAUGCACAGGACGCGCUCAGAGAUGGGUGUUCCCUUGUGGUCUGUGUGCAGGUGGUGCAUGGCUGUCGUCAGCUCGUGUCGUGAGAUGUUGGGUUAAGUCCCGCAACGAGCGCAACCCUUGUCUCAUGUUGCCAGCACGUGAUGGUGGGGACUCGUGAGAGACUGCCGGGGUCAACUCGGAGGAAGGUGGGGAUGACGUCAAGUCAUCAUGCCCCUUAUGUCCAGGGCUUCACACAUGCUACAAUGGCCGGUACAAGGGGCUGCGAUGCCGUGAGGUUUAGCGAAUCCUUUAAAGCCGGUCUCAGUUCGGAUCGGGGUCUGCAACUCGACCCCGUGAAGUCGGAGUCGCUAGUAAUCGCAGAUCAGCAAUGCUGCGGUGAAUACGUUCCCGGGCCUUGUACACACCGCCCGUCACGUCAUGAAAGUCGGUAACACCCGAAGCCAGUGGCCUACCCGUGUGGGGGGGAGCUGUCGAAGGUGGGAUCGGCGAUUGGG
rnacentral:rRNA from 1 species